AUUAGAGUUUGAUCCUGGCUCAGAUUGAACGCUGGCGGCAGGCUUAACACAUGCAAGUCGAGCGGUAACAGGAAUUAGCUUGCUAAUUUGCUGACGAGCGGCGGACGGGUGAGUAACGCGUAGGAAUCUGCCUGGUAGUGGGGGACAACAUGUGGAAACGCAUGCUAAUACCGCAUACGCCCUACGGGGGAAAGGAGGGGAUCUUCGGACCUUUCGCUAUCAGAUGAGCCUGCGUGAGAUUAGCUAGUUGGUGGGGUAAAGGCUCACCAAGGCGACGAUCUCUAGCUGGUCUGAGAGGAUGAUCAGCCACACUGGGACUGAGACACGGCCCAGACUCCUACGGGAGGCAGCAGUGGGGAAUAUUGCACAAUGGGCGCAAGCCUGAUGCAGCCAUGCCGCGUGUGUGAAGAAGGCCUUCGGGUUGUAAAGCACUUUCAGUAAGGAGGAAAGGUUGGAUGUUAAUAGCAUUCAGCUGUGACGUUACUUACAGAAGAAGCACCGGCUAACUCCGUGCCAGCAGCCGCGGUAAUCUACCAGCACACGCGAGGCCUUUCCC
rnacentral:rRNA from 1 species